rnacentral:lncRNA from 1 species
AAUGCCAAUGCAUUAGCUGGAGUCCAAAUGUAAUAAACAGGGCAAUGACACAAAUAAUACCUUGGAAGUAGGCACCGCCCUUGCAACUGGUAAAGUCUCAACCUGAAUGGGAAACAGCUUCCUGACAACUCUCUGCUUCGGAAACAUUUGCUUCGCCUUCAUGAAAACUGGGAGCUUUAGGAGUGAGUCCAAGAACCUUGAACAUGAGUUGAUCAGCAUCGAAAUCGUUGUUAGGAGUUGUCAAAAGUUUUUCGCCAGUAAAGAUGGAAUUAGCACCGGCAAGAAAACACAGUGCCUGCUCCGGCAUGGAGAAACGAACUCUUCCAGCCGAUAAUCUGACCAUUGCUUUUGGCAUGACUAUACGUGCUGUAGCAAUCAUCCGAAUCAUCUCCCAUAUUUCAACUGGCUGAACAUGGAAUUAGAAAACAGACUUUGGUUAUUUCCAAGCAUAAAGUAACCUUUCAUGGACAUGCAAAGCUUUUUAGAUGCUCUUUAACAAUGAUGGCUGGCGUAUACAACAUAGUGGGAGUAAAUAUGCUGAAGUAGAUCAUUCUUCCAAGCAAAACUUUUAUUAUUGGCAAUUUUUAUCAGACUAUGUGGAUUUACCAAUGAUUUAUAUUAAAGAGCAAUAAAUGAUAAGAGAGAAAUACCAUCAAUGACAGAAUAUGCUUGCAGUAAAAUAUGAUAUAUAUUCCACCACAACAUUAAAUGGUAUUGUGUUAAACAGGAAUAAAGUCACCUUCUGAUCUUGAAGAGGGGUGCCUUUCACUGCAAGCAGCGCAUUGAUGGGAACACUCUCUGGAUGAGUAGGGAGUGUUGCUAGUGUAUGCAACAAACCAACUCUGUCCUCCUCUGCUUCUCCAAGCCCUAUUAUACCACCUAUGAACAGAAAAUCAAAUACUCAUUGUCAAGAUCUGUUUAUCUUUGCAUUGAAAGACGAAAAAAGAAAGAUCUAUCAUCUAUUUGACAAUGAGGUUGAAGAAUGUUUGGUGAAUUUUAACAAUGGCACCUUGAAGUUAGAACAGAGAAUUGCAUGACUACCAAACUAAAAUGAAACGCUUAUGCAAAUAUCAUUGAUUUCAGUUCAUUUGAUGAUUUUGAGGCUUGAAAAAGGCAUUGCUUUGAAGGUUAGGAUUCCCAACUGAGACACAUGUUAAUUUCAAGUGAUGUUUGCAAAGACAAUCUAACUCCACAGACAAUAUCCUACCAAGCUUUAUUUAAACAAACAAAAAAAACAAAGUAGCCAUCAUCAUAGCCACCUCUUGAAUAAACAGAUUAAUUGUUUCCUUUCUAGAAUCUUAACACGUUUGGAAGGUUAUACCAGGAAUCUUGAAUCAACUCAGCAGUGUUAAUUUUAUUUUAUUUUUUAAAAUCAACUCAGCAGUGUUAAUUUUAUUUUAUUUUUUAAAAUCAACUCAGCAGUGUUAAUUUUAUUUUAUUUUUUAAAAUCAACUCAGCAGUGUUAAUUUUAUUUUAUUUUUUAAAAUCAACUCAGCAGUGUUAAUUUUAUUUUAUUUUUUAAAAUCAACUCAGCAGUGUUAAUUUUAUUUUAUUUUUUAAAAUCAACUCAGCAGUGUUAAUUUUAUUUUAUUUUUUAAAAUCAACUCAGCAGUGUUAAUUUUAUUUUAUUUUUUAAAAUCAACUCAGCAGUGUUAAUUUUAUUUUAUUUUUUAAAAUCAACUCAGCAGUGUUAAUUUUAUUUUAUUUUUUAAAAUCAACUCAGCAGUGUUAAUUUUAUUUUAUUUUUUAAAUUCUAACAUGUUUACCAAUGUAUUCUUUAUACAAACAAUCAACCUAGUAAAAGAGAAUAAACCCUUUAACGAAAUUUCAAACUCUCUGUUCAGCGAAACUGAAAUUCAACUGAACCCAGGAACUUAAAACUCUGGUAUCUGUUGCCAAUGAUGGAGAUAAGUGAUAUUUGUGCUCACUUAAGAGACUUUUAGUAGAUUUAGUAACUAAUUACAUCUCAAUCCUAACCCUGGCCUCUUUGAAAUGACUAAUACUUAAAAAGCUGCAAAGGACAAAAACCACCAACAGCAUAUGGAAUUGUAUCAUAUGGUUUGGCACCAAUAUGAACCCUAGGUGAUGAGCUUGUCUACCUUUCAGAAGGGGUACAUAUCAUCUUAAAAGUGGAUAUGAUCUUUCUCUGGAGGUUAAAGAAAGCCAUACAACAUAAAAAUUCUUCCUUCCCUUUUCUACUGUUUUUCACCAUUUAAUUUCUCAAUUCGCCCAUUCAACCAAUAGAAGGUGGCAAGAUAAAAGUCCACACAGAAAAAAUGCUCAAUAAGAUAGCAUAAUCAACACUAUAGUACAAAAUUACCUGAACAGACAUUAAUCCCAGCUUCACGGACAUGCUUAAGGGUUUCCAAAUGUUCAUCAUAACUACUUGUAGUAAUGAUUUUGGGGUAAUAUUCUCUUGAGGUAUCAAGGUUAUGGUUGUGCGCUGUAAGGCCUGCUUUCUUGAGUUCUAUAGCCUGCUGCUUCUCCAGCAUGCCCAAGGUGCAGCAAACCUCCAUUCCCAUGUCCCUCAUACAUGACAGAUUAAAACCCAGCUCAACAUUUGGCGGAUAAGCAAGAAAAUCUAAGACAAAGUUAGUCAAAUUUUCAAAAGCUAUGGCAAACAAUUAAUAGGACAAGUAGCUCAUGAAGCAUUGUAGAAGUUCUAUUACUUUUGAAACGUACGGAAACCCAAGAAAAGAAUUGAUGUUAAAAUUAUGAAUUGGAAAGCAUCAUAACAUAAGACAGAAGCUGUAUUCCAUGUAAUUCUUUUGUUGAAAAGAAAUAUUCGCUGGCUGUGUGUUGUUGCAUAUAACUUGAUAGUAAAAUACAAAAGCAUAUUCAAAUUUCUUGCAUUUAACAAAAUAAAAUUUUCAUCAACCCAGAGUUGACAUUACAUUACAGUCAACAUCUACAGUACUUACAUUGUCCAAGUAUCACAACUGAAUUCAUAGGGGGGAAAAUAACUGCUGUACCGUACAUCCGCCUUGGCCGUACAGCAGAUUUUCUACGUAUUUUAAUAAAUUUCCAUUUUGCCCCUAGUUCAAUUAUGAGUAUCUAAUUUUCUUUCAAGCUUGGGUUGAAGGUGAAGUCUCAACAUGUGUCAUGGGCUUUAAUUGGUAAAUUUACUUUCUCUUCCCCUCUAGUUUUUGACAACUCUCUGCUUCGGAAACAUUUGCUUCGCCUUCAUGAAAACUGGGAGCUUUAGGAGUGAGUCCAAGAACCUUGAACAUGAGUUGAUCAGCAUCGAAAUCGUUGUUAGGAGUUGUCAAAAGUUUUUCGCCAGUAAAGAUGGAAUUAGCACCGGCAAGAAAAC